AACGAACGCUGGCGGCAGGCCUAACACAUGCAAGUCGAGCGGGACCUUCGGGUCUAGCGGCGGACGGGUUAGUAACGCGUGGGAACGUGCCCAAAGGUACGGAAUAGCCUCGGGAAACUGAGAGUAAUACCGUAUGUGCCCCGUCGGGGGAAAGAUUUAUCGCCUUUGGAUCGGCCCGCGUUGGAUUAGGUAGUUGGUGGGGUAAUGGCCUACCAAGCCGACGAUCCAUAGCUGGUUUGAGAGGAUGAUCAGCAACACUGGGACUGAGACACGGCCCAGACUCCUACGGGAGGCAGCAGGUGGGAAUCUUAGACAAUGGGGAAACCCUGAUCUAGCCAUGCCGCGUGAGCGAUGAAGGCCUUAGGGUUGUAAAGCUCUUUCAGAUGGGAAGAUAAUGACGGUACCAUCAGAAGAAGCCCCGGCUAACUCCGUG
rnacentral:rRNA from 1 species